rnacentral:ncRNA from 1 species
GUUUUAGUUCAGGGGUGCGAAAACGCUGAGAUUAUACCCUACGAACCUGAUGUUUAAUUACAACGAAGGGAGAACCAUGGUUUUAAAU